AGCCACAGUUGCCACGUGUGUUACAGCUGCAACACCACUGGAUUCUUAACCCACUGUGCCUGGCCAGGUAUCAAGCCUGGGUCCCAUCGCUCCCAAGAGCAGCCAAUCCCAUUGCACCACAGCAGGAACUCCACUUUUUGUAUUUUAUUUAAGAAAUCUUUUCCUGGAGUCCCCAUCGAGGCUCAGUGGUUAACGAAUCCGACUAGGAACCAUGAGGUUGCGGGUUCGAUCCCUGGCCUUGCUCAGUGGGUUAAGGAUCCGUCGUUGCUGUGAACUGUGAUGUAGGUCACAGAUGUGGCUCAGAUCCUGCAUUGCUAUAGCUCUGGUGUAGGCCAGCGCUGUAGCUCCAACUCGACCCCUAGCCUGGGAACCUCCAUAUGCUGCAGGUGCGGUCCUAGAAAAAGACGAUCAAUUCCUUUGGGAAUUGAUUUUUAUAUGGGGACCCGACCCUACUCUUUUUCUGCGGGUAACCAGAUGCAGUGGAGGUAGGGGGCAAAGACCUUUCCAGAAGCCUGACCGAGAAGGAAAGCCAUGAGGCUGGAGAGAUGUUCUGGAAUUGUGGGAGUGCAGGAGUUUUGUCUUUAGGGGGUAGGAGUUUGUCAUUUAUGAGACAUGAACAGACAGCUCAAGGCAAGUCCUAUGCCGGCGGCUCCUUGAUGCAGGGCCCUGCGCUCCUGGGGACAGGCUUCAGCAGCAACAGCCCCUAGGGCUCUGCAAGCCUGAUCCUCCCACGGGCAUCUCUGGAUCCAAAACUCUCUUUAACGGCCCCUCCCAUCUCAGGGCAGAAUAGCUUUCUAUUUUGUUCGCUUUAGUGAGUGCAUUUACAGUUUUGUCUUCUGAAUGGCCUACUGAUUUCCCCUUUCCUCAGCACCACUGCCACUGGCUCCUCUGUCUCCANNNNNNNNNNNNNNNNNNNNNNNNNNNNNNNNNNNNNNNNNNNNNNNNNNNNNNNNNNNNNNNNNNNNNNNNNNNNNNNNNNNNNNNNNNNNNNNNNNNNNNNNNNNNNNNNNNNNNNNGGGGGCUUGUCCUGGUGUUCACAUCCACACACACUCUCUCUGUAUGUAUAUCUAUAAACAUAUAUGUAAUAAACCUAUUUAUUUAAACAACCUAUUAUCUAUUAAAUAACCCAUUACAGAUUCUAUAAACAUAUUCUCUAUAUGUACCAUAUAAACUAUACGAUAUAUAAUAAACCACCUUUCUCAUAGGAUUGCUGGAACAUUAGAUCAGUUAACAUCCAAGUGCUGAGAACAGAGCCUGGCAGAAUGUUAGCCCUUAUCAUGAGCGAGCUGAAAUUUGCAAGGUCUCUGAAAUGCUCUCCUUCUCUGGCCCCUACUUGCUUCCAUAUUGGUCUCCCUGCCUUUGGUUCCUUUUCUCUCCCAGGGCAUCCCAUACCCUGUCCCCAAAAGACAUUUUGGGGGAUAUUUUCAGGGCAUUUUUUAAGGCUUCCCAUGGCUUGCAGAGUAAAGUUCAAACUCUUUAGCUCAGCGUUCAGAAGUAUCUUGCUCCUGCUCUGUUUGACUUUUCCUCGCUGUUCUCUGCAGCAUCACUGUUCCAGCUCACUCUCAGCCCCUAGACUCCCUCUAGGUGCUUCUGGCCCACUUACCUUGGUGUUUAGACCUUUCUCUCUUGCCUGCCUCUACCCAGGUCAUGAUUCUUCUCUCAUAACCAAGCCCCUCUCCUCCAUAAAGCCUGUCUUGACCACUCCAAUCCCCAACUGUCUCUCCUACCUCUGAUCCCAGCAUCUCUCAUCUGGACCACUCCCUGUUUCACAUAAUUAGACAGGUUACACAUAUGGGUCUGUCUCUCCAGCCCCAUCACACUUCCCACAAAUGCAAGGCAAGCUUCUUCUGACUUGUUUUUCUGACGGUGCAUAGCACAGGACCUCAUCCUCCAUACAGGUUCAAUGAAUACUGACUGAUUGUGAUGACACUGUGCCAGGGUGCUAAAAAUGAUGGCCUCAUAUUUAUUCAUCCAUCUGUCCAUCGACUCAGUCAUUAUUAUUGGGUUUCCGCAGAGGACCAAGGUAUGGGAAUUACAGGAACAGAAUAGAAACCGCCUUCUUUUCAUGGAGCUUGUGUUCACAUAGGGGAGAGGGAUUCUCAAAAUAAACCAAUAAAUGAAAUAUUUCAAAGAGUGGGUAAGGGCCCUAAAAGAAAUAAGAAUCUUUAUUCAGUGUUUUAUAUAUUUUGCCUGUUCUGUAUGCAAAGCCAGUUACAUGACCAGGUGCAAGGGUGGUGCCAGAGCAAGAUGCAAUACAGGGUCCCUUGUUCGGAAAUAUAUAAGCCUUCCUAGACAAUCACAGCAGAGUAUUAGAGGAAGCUGAUGAAGCCCUUCUAGGAGUUCCCGUGUGGCUCAGCAGGUUAAGGGUCUGGCAUUGUCACUCCAGCAGCUUGGGUCACUGCUGUGGUGCAGGUUUGAUCUCUGGCCAGGGAACUUCCACAUGCUAUAGGCUCAGCCAAAAUAAAGUAAUACUUUCUAGCCAGCCCUGCCUGUAGGAUACUUGGCCUGUACGGGGUGCUUUCAUGAGGCAGAAACUAAUCAGAGAAAUGAUCUGCAUGGGAUUUGAAAUCCAGCUCAGUGUACUUAUUUCCGGAAAAUAACAGCAACUAUGCACUGGCGGUAGAUGGAAUCUGACGUAAGUUCUUCAUGUUUCCUGCCUCUCAGAUUGCUUGUCUUACGCAGCAGCUUUGCAAGUGUUAUCCAGGAGGUGCUACGGGAAGCAGAGGUGCAAAAUCCUGGUCAACAACCACCAUUUCGGAAGCCCCUGUCUGCCAGGAGUGAAAAAAUACCUCACUGUCACCUAUGCAUGUGUUCCCAAGAACAUACUCACAGCGAUUGAUCCAGGUGUUGCUGAUCUCAAACCUUCUUCGACACAGAAAGAUGGUGACUACGGUAUAAAGUUUGACCCAAGAGAACCGAGGGUUCUGAGGAAAGAUGGAGUCAUUGUCAGCCACUCUCUGGCAGCAUUUGCUUACCUCCGAGGUAGGUCAGUGAAUUGAAGCUUUCUAGAAUGUCAAUGGAUGUGCCGAGGUCUUACAAUUGCUCUGUUUAAUUAUAGCACAUGGAUAGCUCAAGAAAAAGGACUUGAAAAAAAAAAAAAA
ensembl:lncRNA